UAAUAACUGAACUAUGAUGGGUGGCC
rnacentral:piRNA from 1 species